rnacentral:tRNA from 1 species
AAAGGUUUAGUUUAAAUAAAAACAUUAAUUUGUCAAAUUAAAAAUAUUAACUUAUAAUACCCUUUU